ensembl:miRNA MIR6882 microRNA 6882
GGCUUUACAAGUCAGGAGCUGAAGCAGCUGGAAUUCAAGCCCUGCUGCCUCUCCUCUUGCCUGCAG